rnacentral:rRNA from 1 species
CGUAGGAGGCAAGCGUUAUCCGGAUUCACUGGGCGUAAAGCGCGUGCAGGUGGCGCGGUAAGUUGGGCGUGAAAUCUCCCGGCUCAACUGGGAGAGGUCGUUCAAUACUACCGUGCUUGAGAGCAGAAGAGGAAGAUGGAAUUCCCGGUGUAGUGGUGAAAUGCGUAGAUAUCGGGAGGAACACCAGUGGCGAAGGCGAUCUUCUGGUCUGUUUCUGACACUCAGACGCGACAGCUAGGGUAGUAAACGGGAUUAGAGACCCCGGCAAUCCUAGCCGUAAACGAUGUGAACUUGGCGUUGGUGGGUUAAACUCCAUCAGUGCCGUAGCAAACGCGAUAAGUUCACCGCCUGGGGACUACGGCCGCAAGGUUA